rnacentral:rRNA from 1 species
UACGAAGGGUGCAAGCGUUACUCGGAAUUACUGGGCGUAAAGCGUGCGUAGGUGGUUCGUUAAGUCCGAUGUGAAAGCCCUGGGCUCAACCUGGGAAUGGCAUUGGAAACUGGCGACCUAGAGUGCGGUAGAGGGUAGUGGAAUUCCCGGUGUAGCAGUGAAAUGCGUAGAGAUCGGGAGGAACAUCCGUGGCGAAGGCGACUACCUGGACCAGCACUGACACUGAGGCACGAAAGCGUGGGGAGCAAACAGGG